GCGUGUUCGAGACUUUAUAUGGAAAUCCAAAAUAAUGCUACCAGGGACUAAUUGUUCUGGACUACUAGAGUAUCAAACCGCUUCCGGUGUCACAGAAGUGUUCAACGUCUGGGUGAUAUCGACUACCCUUUUGACAGGAGAACAAGCUCCGGGACAAAGAGGAGUUGGCUAUUUUGUCGUUGAGGAGAGGAACUAGUCGAUUGAUAAGUUAGAAAGAAUGAGAGACUCGAGUGGAGAGUGUUUAGGUAUUUACACAAACGAUUCACUCCAUUGAUUCAAAAUCUUUUCAGUGGAGAAACUAAGAACUAUUUUAACAACAUGUGGACUCAAUUAAAACCGAUUUUUUUAUUGCAUUUUAGUAACUUUGACAACCACAAACAGGAAGAAAAUAUUUAGAUUUUGAAUUAUUUCUGGCAAUUUUACAUAUUGAAACGCGAGCUUUUCAAAGUCGACGGAUGCCUCGUGAAAAUAAAUAAACUCGUAUUUAAGUGCAUAAAAAAUAGUAAAAUAAACAUGUCGCAUUUUCAAAGCACAAAAUAAAGUAAGAACCCUGAACUAUAGCUUCAGGUGUGAUGAGUAUU